rnacentral:rRNA from 1 species
CUACGGGCCGCUGCAGUCGAGAAUCAUUCGCAAUGGGCGAAAGCCUGACGAUGCGACGCCGUGUGAGCGAAGAAGGCCUUCGGGUUGUAAAGCUCUUUCGCUUGGGAACAAGAGAUAUAGGUGAAUAAUCUAUAGAUUUGAGGGUACUGGGUAAAGAAGCACCGGCGAACUCCGUGCCAGCAGCUGCGGUAAUACGGAGGGUGCAAGCAUUAAUCGGAUUUAUUGGGCGUAAAGGGCGCGUAGGCGGUUUAAAAAGUCAGCUGUGAAAUUCCGUGGCUCAACCACGGAGCUGCAGAUGAAACUCUUAGACUUGAGGAUGGACGGAGAAAACGGAAUUCCACGUGUAGCGGUGAAAUGCGUAGAUAUGUGGAAGAACACCAGUGGCGAAGGCGGUUUUCUAGUCUAUACCUGACGCUGAGGCGCGAAAGCAAGGGGAGCAAACAGGAUUAGAUACCCCGGUAGUC